UACGGGAGGCAGCAGUGGGGAAUAUUGCACAAUGGGCGCAAGCCUGAUGCAGCCAUGCCGCGUGUAUGAAAAAGGCCUUCGGGUUGUAAAGUACUUUCAGUCGUGAGGAAGGUGUUAAGGUUAAUAACCUUAGCAAUUGACGUUAGCGACAGAAGAAGCACCGGCUAACUCCGUGCCAGCAGCCGCGGUAAUACGGAGGGUGCGAGCGUUAAUCGGAAUUACUGGGCGUAAAGGGCACGCAGGCGGUUAAUUAAGUUGGAUGUGAAAUCCCCGGGCUUAACCUGGGAAUGGCAUUCAAGACUGGUUAGCUAGAGUCUUGUAGAGGGGGUAGAAUUCCAUGUGUAGCGGUGAAAUGCGUAGAGAUGUGGAGGAAUACCGGUGGCGAAGGCGGCCCCUGGGACAAAGGACUGACGCUCAUGUGCGAAAGCGUGGGGAGCGAAAC
rnacentral:rRNA from 1 species